AAUAGGAGACAAACCCUAAAUUUAAAUGGCUGCAUUCAUACCACAUUCUUACACAAAUCUGUUGUGUGACUCCUUGUCCAAAUUGAUAGGGCCUCACAAACCCGGCUGAAACCACUUAACCAAAACCGAAACCCUCACUGUCCCACACCCUCAUUCUUCUCUCCAACCAAUCUCAUCUCUCUGCGUGAGAUUAUUGACCGCGAACGGGAUUGAGCCAGUGAAGUUGUUAGAACUGAGAUCAAGCCGAUUCAGCCUCUCAAACCGAGUCAACCCGGGCGGAAACUCACCAGAUAACUCAUUCCCUUGGAGGUAGAGAUUCCGAAGCACUGUUGGCGAACCGGUGAGCUUAUUGGAGCGAAGACUCAGAACUCGGAGCUGACUCAAGACCCCUCAAGUCUAGUAAAACCCUAGAAAUUUUGAGAAAGCAAACUUAGUAUCUCUCUCAUUGUGGAUGAAGAGAGCUUGCUCUUCCCAUUUGAUUUCAGAGCCGAGAUCUGUGUAGAUUUGGAGAUUUAGAGGUAGGGACAUUUGAGUUAAUAGAAAUAUUGGGGGUUUUGAACAAAUGCACAGACGACUUCUAGGCAACUUGCUGAUAGGAAGGUGGAGGGGUUCGAGAAGAACAUAACCAAGAGAGGUGCGGUGGAAAUAUUGAGGUUUCGCUGUGUGGUUAUGUUAUGUUCUUUUGUUUCUUCAGUGGUUACGAAAAACUAAUCGUCUCCUACUACUUUAGUUUAGGUUUUGAGCUGCAAGCAGUAUGAGCAAAUUAACUCUAGGAAGAAUGUCUGGAGUUUCAUUGAGCUGGAAACAUACAUGUGGAAGCUACUUGAUUUUCGAGAGUGAAACUGCCCUCGGGUCUGGAGUCCUACAGCUGCUUAGCAAUGUUGCUGGAUACCCAUCUGGAGGCACCUGAAGAGUUCUCGAAGAAGGCUACACUGUUCUUUGCUCAUGUUGCUGAUAAGUUUUAUGCCAAAGUCAAUGAUGAUGUUUAUUUAAAUAUUGGUCAGUAUUACAUGGACUCAUUUUUCAAUAGGAUUUGUUUAUGUACCAGCUCUGCUUCCUCACAAUUGCUACCCCCUCCCUUUGUUUUAGCUAAUAUUCUAUUAUUUAAUGUGUUUAUCAUGUUCUUGAGGUAUGAUUUCUGUAAAUGUAGAUUGGAAAACACCAUAUUCUUUGUCAAUAGAAAAGAUUGUGUCUAAUAGUUCUUAAUGAAAAUUUGCUUUUACCAAUGAUUAAUGCUAGAGAUCUUUCUCAUUGGCAUAUAUUUACACUGCAGAUGGCUCUUUAUGAUUUAUCUUAUUUCACUUCUUUUUUGUUUUGCACAUCUGUUCUAGGAGCUGCACUUGCAACUCAUUUAGACAAGCCUUGCGUUUAUAUUGGGUGCAUCCAGUCGGGCGAAGUUUUCUCUGAGCUGUGGUAUGAACCAGAAUGGUGGAAGUUUGGUGAAAAAAAAUCGUGGGUUAUGAUGUUUUUUAUUCCAUUCGAAUAUUUUCGGUUUAUAUUUUGGGGUUAUGAUGUUCGGAGCUGAUUAGUACAAGUGGUGUUUGUAGGGAGUAGAAGAGAGGAUGAUUGGAUGUUGUGUGUUUUACUGGGUCUGAUUGUUUUUUGAGAUUUGUGUUUUGCAGGGAAAGUUGGUUUAGGGAUUUGGAAGGUUCUACAUUUGGUUCUUGACCGUGGUGAGAAGAUUGAGUUGUUGGUGGAUAAGAUUGAUAACGCAGGCCUAAAGAUUUCAAGCAACAAGGAACAAAAAUGAGAAGGAAGAUGUGGUUUCAGAAUAUGAAGAUAAAGUUAAUUGUUGCGGGGAUUGUUUAGGCAUGUUAGGAUCAGAGAGGAAAAUACUCCCUUUUUUAUAUCAAUUUACUGAAUACAUUUUAUAUAUGGUGGGAUUUGAGUUAAUUUGAUUGUUUAGAACUUUUGUAACAAUUAGACAACAAGAAUAAAUGAAAAGUAUUGUCCAACAC